rnacentral:hammerhead_ribozyme from 1 species
AUUUAGCUGACGAGUCCCAAAUAGGACGAAACGUGUGUCAAACUGGAU